AUAAUACCUUCAGGAUAUAGGAAGUUCGAUAGAAAAUAAUCACCAUAGUUCUAUUCUGGUGUUGGCUCAGCAUUCUGUAUUGAAGGUCAAGGCUGAAACUUUCUAGCACUUCUUUUGCUGCCCAGUAUUUCCACCCUGGUUGAUUCUUUUUUCCACCCUGACUUACACUGGCUCUUCUUGGAGUCUUCAUUUGUAGCUUGCUCAAAUAAGUGACUUUCUUGCCUCUCCAAACCACUUUGAUCUCCUUCAAUUGAAAUUAUGUCAUAGAUUUCAGAGUCUCCUGAGUUUUAAUAUUGCAGCCACCAGCUGCCCUGUGCCUUCUCCAUUUUAAUUAUAGUCUCUAUUUCAAAAACAAAAAAAAAAAAAAACAAACAAACGAACAAACAAAAAAAAAUGGCUAGGGUAAGUGGGGGUGGGGGUGGGAGUGGGGGAGGAUGUUUAACCCUUAUAAGAUUGGUCAUGAACCAUGACUUCAGGCCUCCAGUCUGUGUGAAGCUGAGCGAGAAAUAAAGGCUCACAUUACAUCACAUGGUGGCUCAAAAGAAAGCUAUGUCACUGGGGACAGUCCUUGCAAAACCAGAAUGUCUAGUCACUUUGACCUACAGCAAGAAGUUAGGAGUAACCAGGGCAGAUGCUCCUGCAAACAGCUGGGCCAGCCCCAGCGCAGCCACUGUGUAGCGGAAUUGCAUUCAAGCCUGUGAAACAAGGAGCAAUCUGGGGAUAAGGAACACAGGAGGGUUUUUCUCUUUCUUUUUCUUUUUCGGUUUUCCAGAAGGACCUGAGACCUGCUCGGCCGGCUGGCAGAAUCUCUUACAAACUUAGCAGAAUCUUUUUGUCCAAAGAAAAGGAUAGCCACUGACUACCUCUGGAGCAGCUGCUGCUGGAAACCAGGCUCAUGGCAACCUACUGGC
rnacentral:lncRNA from 1 species